UGGGCUUACUAUAAGAUACAAAGACAAGUGGGAAUUGGUUUCUGGUAGCGGGAUUUACGCUGCUUAGCCCCAUCAUCCAAUCUGUAGAGAUGAUAAGAGAGUUCGUCGUUGCUUUCAGGAGCCACCGGUGGGUAAGCAACAAGAGUCAAUUAUGGGCGAUGAGCUACAAAAUGCACAUAAUAAGCAAGAUAACCAUAGAAGAAUAAUGCUUGCAAUCAUUUCUAUUCCGUGUGCAUAUUACUAGUCCUAUUGUAACCUUGAACAUGAAUAUCAUAAACAUCAAGGCUAUGACGAGAGAGAAUAACACAUAGUUCAUUUUUAAGAGUUAAUGCUUAUGUAUCUUUGACGUGAGCAAGGUUAUGCUCCCUAAUAAAACCAUCUUUGUCAACAAAUCUCAUAAUAAGAGUAAUUUGUUCUUUUUCUA